rnacentral:tRNA from 1 species
CCCUGCGUGGGAGAGUUAAUGCAUUUGGCUGCUAACCAAAAGGUUGGUGGUUUGAGUCCACUCAGAGGCA